GACAGCCAGGAUGUUGGCUUAGAAGCAGCCAUCAUUUAAAGAAAGCGUAAUAGCUCACUGGUCGAGUCGGCCUGCGCGGAAGAUGUAACGGGGCUAAACCAUGCACCGAAGCUGCGGCAGCGACACUUAUGUGUUGUUGGGUAGGGGAGCGUUCUGUAAGCCGUUGAAGGUGUGCUGUGAGGCAUGCUGGAGGUAUCAGAAGUGCGAAUGCUGACAUAAGUAACGAUAAAGCGGGUGAAAAGCCCGCUCGCCGGAAGACCAAGGGUUCCUGUCCAACGUUAAUCGGGGCAGGGUGAGUCGACCCCUAAGGCGAGGCCGAAAGGCGUAGUCGAUGGGAAACAGGUUAAUAUUCCUGUACUUGGUGUUACUGCGAAGGGGGGACGGAGAAGGCUAUGUCAGCCGGGCGACGGUUGUCCCGGUUUAAGCAUGUAGGCGGAGGUUCCAGGUAAAUCCGGUACCUUGUUAACGCUGAGGUGUGAUGACGAGGCACUACGGUGCUGAAGUGAUAAAUGCCCUGCUUCCAGGAAAAGCCUCUAAGCAUCAGGUAACACGAAAUCGUACCCCAAACCGACACAGGUGGUCAGGUAGAGAAUACCAAGGCGCUUGAGAGAACUCGGGUGAAGGAACUAGGCAAAAUGGUGCCGUAACUUCGGGAGAAGGCACGCUGAUGUGUAGGUGAAGCCCCUGCGGGCGGAGCUGAAAUCAGUCGAAGAUACCAGCUGGCUGCAACUGUUUAUUAAAAACACAGCACUGUGCAAACACGAAAGUGGACGUAUACGGUGUGACGCCUGCCCGGUGCCGGAAGGUUAAUUGAUGGGGUUAGCGGCAACGCGAAGCUCUUGAUCGAAGCCCCGGUAAACGGCGGCCGUAACUAUAACGGUCCUAAGGUAGCGAAAUUCCUUGUCGGGUAAGUUCCGACCUGCACGAAUGGCGUAAUGAUGGCCAGGCUGUCUCCACCCGAGACUCAGUGAAAUUGAACUCGCUGUGAAGAUGCAGUGUACCCGCGGCAAGACGGAAAGACCCCGUGAACCUUUACUAUAGCUUGACACUGAACACUGGUCCUUGAUGUGUAGGAUAGGUGGGAGGCUUUGAAGCGUGGACGCCAGUCUGCGUGGAGCCAUCCUUGAAAUACCACCCUUUAAUGGCUGGUGUUCUAACGUAGACCCGUGAUCCGGGUUGCGGACAGUGUCUGGUGGGUAGUUUGACUGGGGCGGUCUCCUCCCAAAGAGUAACGGAGGAGCACGAAGGUUGGCUAAUCCUGGUCGGACAUCAGGAGGUUAGUGCAAUGGCAUAAGC
rnacentral:rRNA from 1 species